UGGUACACUUGUGUAUGUAAGAAGGUAUACUAGUGUUUGUAGGAAGGAAAACUGGUGUAUGUAAGUAGGUAAACUGGUGUAUGGAGGAAGGUAAACUGGUGUAUGUAGGAAGGUAAACUGGUGUAUGUAGGAAGGUAAACUGGUGUAUGUAAGAAGGUAAACUGGUGUAUGUAGGAAGGUAAACUGGUGUAUGUAAGAAGGUAAACUGGUGUAUGUAAGAAGGUAAACUGGUGUAUGCAAGAAGGUAAAGUGGUGUAUGUAAGAAGGUAAAGUGGUGUAUGGAAGAAGGUAAAGUGGUGUAUGUAGGAAGGUAAACUGGUGUACCGGUAUGUAAGAAGGUUAAGUGGUGUAUGUAAGAAGGUAAAGUGGUGUAUGUAAGAAGGUAAACUGGUGUAUGUAGGAAGGUAAACUGGUGUAUGUAGGAAGGUAAACUGGUGUAUGUAAGAAGGUAAACAGGUGUAUGCAUGAAGGUAAACAGGUGUAUGUAAGAAGGUAAACAGGUGUA